CUGCCCGUAAGGAGCUUACAAUCUAGUUGCGAGUAAAGAACAUGCACACGAACUCCCCGUGUACGCCUGUGUGUGCCAAGAGUCAGGGCGCU
rnacentral:miRNA from 1 species